UCUUCCCAGAUAUUUCUGAGCCACGUGGAUUUCUCCUCAAAAUCCAGGAUACAGAAGGCAAGGAUUGGGAUUUUAACUAUCGUUAUUGGAUCAAUGGUGGCAGUAAGAUGUAUAUCCUGGAGGGGCUUAGAGACUUUAUGAUUUCAAAGAGAUGGCAAGCAGGGGAUACUGUCACAUUUUAUAGAGUGGAACCGGGUGGAAAGUUGAUAAUUGGACUAAGGAAAACUUCUUCUCUGCAACCACCAAAUGAGAAAUGAAGCCGGGGCGCGUAUGAAAAGAUUUAAGCUGAAGUCUUUUGCCUGAAUUCAGGGAGUUGUUGUUCCUGACUGGAUAUUCUGCCUCCCCUUGGAAGCAUUUAUCACCUUUGUGGAUACUCUGUCAACCACCAAGUAGAAUCGGAGUGUUUUGAGCCAAUCAAAAUGUACCCUUUCAAUCCAAACGUUGGAUAAAAUGCCUUUUUUGUGGGGGCUAUUUUUUUAUCUGUUCAAACUGCUUAAAGUUAAACUCAACCAUGUGUAAUUAGAGUGGUAGAUUAAAGAGAGGAUUUAUAACCUCGGUCUGUUUAUGUAACUGCUUGAGGAAGUAUUUUUCUCGCCCCUUUUAAUCUUCAGUUCCUUUUAAACGAAAGUAGAUGCUUUGUCAGAUGAUCUUACUACUAUA